rnacentral:rRNA from 1 species
AUGCUUGCUGAUUUCAAGAUCUCAGAUCACACAUUUGAGAAUUGUCAUACUGAUGUUGUCCUUAUAACCAAGUGGGGAACAAUGUUGGAUUUGUGUUCUUGUAGAUUGGACGAUCUAUACUCUACUUGGAUACUAAGUGCAGGACAUUGCGUAAAGUUUAUGGGAUUGAAAGAGAGGGUAUACUACAUCGUAUCCAUCCUUUCUUUAUGGUCUGGCCUCCCACAUUCCCUACGCGCAGGGACGAUAUUGCAAGUGAGAUCACAUCAAGAUGAGGAAAGUGCAGCUGAGCAGCUGCUGUUAGUUAUGUGGUAUUAA